GACAGAGGUGGCAAGCGUUGUCCGGAGUUACUGGGCGUAAAGGGCGCGGAGGCGGCCUGCGGCGUCGGCGCUGAAAGCGCCCCGCUUAACGGGGCGAGGCGUGCCGAUACGCGAAGGCUCGAGGUGAGCAGAGGGUGGUGGAAUUCCGGGUGGAGCGGUGAAAUGCGUAGAGAUCCGGAGGAACGCCAGUGGGGAAGCCGGCCACCUGGGCUCGGCCUGACGCUGCGGUGCGACAGCGUGGGGAGCAAACCGG
rnacentral:rRNA from 1 species